rnacentral:rRNA from 1 species
UACAGAGGGUGCAAGCGUUAAUCGGAAUUACUGGGCGUAAAGCGCGCGUAGGCGGCUUGACAAGUCGAGUGUGAAAUCCCCGGGCUUAACCUGGGAGCUGCAUUCGAAACUGUCUUGCUAGAGUAUGGGAGAGGGAGGUGGAAUUUCAGGUGUAGCGGUGAAAUGCGUAGAUAUCAGGAGGAACACCAACGGCGAAGGCAGCUCUCUGGGACGUUACUGACGCUGAGACGCGAAAGCGUGGGGAGCAAACAGG